ensembl:lncRNA
CUAUUAUCUGAUGGGAUGGGAAGACUUCAAGGGAACAGGUUUUGUGGUUAAAAUCAGGAGUUCAUGUUUGCGUAUGCUGAUUUUAAAUCUUUAUUAGACAUCCAAAUAGUGACAUCAAAUAACCAUUGUUGCAUCACAUCUCUGGAAAUAUGCUUGUGGGAGCCAUCAGCAUGUGGAAAGUGAAGCCACAACACUCGAUGAGAUCAACAAAAGUGUGACUAGGAAACAGAGGCAAAGCCUAAGCCCCGGGUCACCCGAACAGGAAGAGGUCUGGAGAACAGGAGAAACCGGCAAAGGAGAAGACAGACAGACAGACCGAUUAGGAGCAUGGAAGGAAUAAACAAGACAGUGUGAAGUCCUGGAAAGCAAACAGGGUGGACAUUUCUUGUUAAACUAACGUCCAAUUUUGCAAUGACUUCUAAGCAGUCAUCGUUAGCACCAAGACUUUUACAAGGAAGAUGUUUGUUGAAGUACCGAGGGAUGAACAGCCUUGACAAUGGGUCAUUGGGCAAAUGCGACUCCGGAAUAAUUCACCAGAGUAUGGACGUCCGGGAAUCGAAAAGGAACUGGCCAGCCUCCUACCAUAAGCCCUGCUAAACAGAACAGACACUAUGAAAUUUAAAACCACAGACAGCAUAAUUAAAUUGGAACCAAAGCGAAUGUGUCAUUGUUGGCUCUUUACAGAAUAAAUGAAAUGCAAG